GCCAGUGUGGUGUAGUGGUUUGAGUGCUUGACUAGGACUCUAGGAGACCAGGGUUCAAAUCCCCACUCAGUCA